GGUGAAGAGGCAGCGUACGGCCUGCGCACCGGAGAGAACUUAUUGUCUCAUUUUUCUGUUUUUACAGGCCGCAGCUGACCAUUGAAACAGCAGACUAGAUGGCAGUUUGAUCCCAAACAUGAGGUCUUUCUCUGUUGGCGGUCUGGUGAAUUUCCACUAAAAGCAAUGCAAAGCAAGACCAAACAAAGUAUUUAGGUGUGGUUUAAGUUAGUUUGAGAUCUGAUGAGCAGCGGAGAACUUUGACGGAAUAGAUAAUCACUGUGUGAGGCCCAGCUAUAAUCAUGACUAAUCAAAUCUUUUCUAUUUAAAAAGAAAGAGGAUACUCUAUUAGUCACUGCUUUUGUCUGGCUGUAGAGGACAGUUUGUGAAUGCAGGAAAAUGUUCAGUAGUAUUUGACUUGGAGCCAAAUAGAAUUUGGCAGCAAAUUAAUGAAACAAUGAGAAGCAACCAAUUCAACAGGAUAUGACAAACUCUGCAGCUUCAAUACUGGGCUGCAAAACACUGCAAUGUUAUAAUAUUAUAAGGAACACUUUUUUGGCGGAGUCAGAAAUUAAUAAUGUAGUGGCCAGCUGCGUUAAUUUCAACAAAGCAUUAGUUGAAAUUAAAUUGAAUGCAUAAACAAUAUUUUUGCUCAUAGUACGACACUUUCUUUGCAUUUUCCACGACUGUAAAUGUAUCAUAAAAUCAUUUUGUUAAUUGAG